rnacentral:tRNA from 1 species
GGGGUAAUAGGGUAGCCUGGUCCAUCCUAGAGCGUUUGGGACGCUUUGACUGCAGUUCGAAUCUGCGUUACCCCA